CGACGUCACACCGGUCGUCCUAUCCUAUCCAGCCUGUAGCAGGCGGCAGUAGGUGGCAGUUUCCUGACUGGAGCUGAGGAAAGCAGGAGCAGGGGCGGUUAGACCAGAAGGCCACCAUGGUGCUCAACCCUGUCAUCUCCAAGCUCACCGGGAAACUGGUCGUGCUGGCAAGCGCUUCACCCAGGAGACUGGAGAUCCUCAGCAAUGCUGCCGGUGAGCAGAGCGGAGCGCCCGCGGAGGCUCGCGCACUGCAGCGCUUCAGUUCGGCAUCUGGUCUAUUUUUCACACGAGCCGUGAGCGCCUCUGUCAAGCUGGAUAAAGCGGAUCAUACCAAACUGGAAGUCGGACACAGAAAAGACGAGAGAAUCCGGCCAAUUUUCAAAAUAAAAUAAAUUUAAAAAAUAAAAGCCUGUUUAAUUAUGAUGUUGCUUGUCUGUCUAUAAAUAUUUGUUCAGUUUGGUCUAGAC